AGCUGCCAUGGAAGAAAUCCAGCUGCUCUGAGGCCACCGUGCUGGAGAGGCUGUGAAGGGACCACACAGAGAGACCAGGGCCCCAGCUGUGCCAGCCCCCAGCUGUUGGAGACUUCCCAGCACGAGCACCAGACUUGUGAGAGAAGAGAGAGGUGGGGAUGUCCCCUCCUCCAGCCAUCUGACUGCAGCGGCAUGAGAGGCUCCCAGGUGCAGCUGGCUCACUGGGCUCAGUCAUCCCAGAACCCUGGGAGUUGCUGUGAACGCUGCUGAACUCAUCAACCUACUUGGUCUGGCUUCUAUCUCAACCACUCCAUUGAAACUGCUCUUUGCAACUAAGUAUUUGUUGCUACACACAAAAGACACUUACCAGACCUCAUUUUACUCAACACCUUGGCAGCAUUUGACACUGCCAACCCCAUCUCCUUCCCAGAAUGUUCUGGCUCAGUGCUGCUCAAAACACGUGCUUUGUGGACCCAUACCAGUAGCCAAACUGUUACUGGUCUGCAACAAGGUCCCUUAUGCUUUCACUCCAGAAACUCUGGAUAGUAAGGAGAAAUGUGAUUUGGAGGAAUCGCUAUAACUACAGUGUAACUCAGAAGGACUGGAA